UACGAAGGGUGCAAGCGUUACUCGGAAUCACUGGGCGUAAAGCGUGCGUAGGCGGUUGAUUAAGUCUGCUGUGAAAGCCCGAGGCUCAACCUCGGAGGGUCGGUGGAUACUGACAGUCUUGAAGGUGCUAGGGGGAGAUGGAAUUACCGGUGUAGCGGUGAAAUGCGUAGAGAUCGGUAGGAACACCAGUGGCGAAGGCGGUCUCCUGGGGCAUUCUUGACGCUGAGACGCGAAAGCUGGGGGAGCGAACGGG
rnacentral:rRNA from 1 species